CGUGUUUUUUUUUUUGUUUUUUUUUUUAACUGAAGAACUCACUUUUUAUGGCAGCUAAACAAUUCAAAGGAGGAUACUUUCAUUAUCUCAACUUCUUAUAAUGAAUGACUUGGAUCUCAUAAUUGCCCAGUUCAAGGAGAUUGGAACCACCUGGACCAUCUGGAUAUCCCACAGAAGACCACACUGACCCAUUAUUACACUGAUGAUAUCAUGCUGAUUGGGCAAGAGAAGCAAGAGGAAGGAAGGCCCACAGAAGUUGCUGUGUGAACAUGUGUGGAGAUGUGAAUCCAUAUAGCUCAAAGGGUGGACUGUGACACCUAUGAGAGCUACAAAUGAAGACUUAGGAGUGUUCAUCAAAUAAGGAGUUGCAAGAAGAACACAGAAACCAGAUUUAUUGUAUACAUGAAAAAAUAAAAAGUACUACUCAAGGAAAGUUUGAGCAUUUUUAUUCACUAAGUUCCAUUUCCUGGUGUUUCAUGCAUGCUAGGAAUUCUAAAUACUGUACUGUUGAAUGCUUGUUUGAAUAGCAAACGCAUUAGACAUGCAAUUUAACAUUUAAAAAAAGGUACAUUGUGCAUGAAUACUAAAGAAAGGCAUUUCUUUCAUUGUCUGAGAAGAAAAUGGAAAAUAAAUUGUGUGAUGUGCAAUUUGGGCUGCUAGAGAACUACUUUAGAUCUCUUACCUGGAAUAAUUUUUACUCUUACCUCAAAGUCAAUCACAGCA
rnacentral:lncRNA from 1 species